rnacentral:rRNA from 1 species
CGGCGGACGGGUGAGUAACGCGUGGGUAACCUACCCUGUACACACGGAUAACAUACCGAAAGGUAUGCUAAUACGGGAUAAUAUAUUUGAGAGGCAUCUCUUGAAUAUCAAAGGUGAGCCAGUACAGGAUGGACCCGCGUCUGAUUAGCUAGUUGGUAAGGUAACGGCUUACCAAGGCGACGGUCAGUAGCCGACCUGAGAGGGUGAUCGGCCACAUUGGAACUGAGACACGGUCCAA